rnacentral:rRNA from 1 species
AACAGUAGAUUCUUCAGGUCACAUAAGUACAUGUUGGAUGAAGAGAAGUGCUUGAUAAAAGUUUUGAAGCAUACAAACCUUGAAACAAGAAGGAUUGUUGUUGUCCUGGCUUACAUAAGAGGAGGAAUGGCUCAUCUACCAUACACAAAGAAACAUGUCACUAACUAUGCAGCAAAAAUAAACAGAGACAUCGCAAACUCUGACAUGAUGGAAGUAGUGCAAAUGUUCAACAAGAAGCAAACAGAAAAUCAUGGCUUUUGCUACUCGUUUGAGCUUGAUGGAGAGAAUAAAGUGAGAAGCUUAUUCUGGACAGAUGUGAGGUCAAGAAUGAUGUAUGAAAUCUUUGGAGAUUGCAUCAGUUUUGACACUACAUUCCUAACAAACAAGUACAACUUACCGUUUGCACCGUUUGUGGGAAUAUCCCCACACGGCAACACAUACUUGUUUGCUUGUGCAUUCAUUAUCAAUGAGACAAAAGACAUGUUUGCUUGGUUGUUUGAACAAUUCCUGAUGGCUAUGGGAGGCAAGCAUCCUAUAUUGAUAAUUACAGAUCAGGACAAGGCAAUGCAAGGAGCUAUUGAACAAGUAUUUCCUAAUGCUACCCAUAGGAGCUGCCUGUUUCACAUAAAGAAAAAGGCAGAGGAGAAAGUUGGGCCAUGUUUCCAAGCUAAUGAAGGCCUCUAUGAAGAUUUCCAGGACAUUCUGGACAACUCCUUGACUGUGGAAGAAUUUGAAACAGACUGGCAAGAAAUGAUAGAGAAAUACCAAGUUCACCACAUAAAGUACUUCAGCGACAUGUGGGAAAACAGGAAAAAGUGCAUACUAGUGUAUUUCAAGGACAAGUUCUUCCCAUUCAUUCAAACUACAGCUAGAAGUGAAGGAACUAAUGCCCUUUUCAAGAAAGGGGUUGGGACUAAAUUUAGUGCUACUAGCUUUUUAAGAGAGUAUGACCGGAUACUUGAUGUUGUGCAUGACAGGGAAUAA